UGGGGAAUAUUGGACAAUGGGGGGAACCCUGAUCCAGCCAUGCCGCGUGUGUGAAGAAAGCCUUAUGGUUGUAAAGCACUUUAAGCGAGGAGGAGGGUACUGGUAUUAAUACUACCAGGUACUGGACGUUACUCGCAGAAUAAGCACCGGCUAACUCUGUGCCAGCAGCCGCGGUAAUACAGAGGGUGCGAGCGUUAAUCGGAUUUACUGGGCGUAAAGCGUGCGUAGGCGGCUAAUUGAGUCGGAUGUGAAAUCCCCGAGCUUAACUUGGGAAUUGCAUUCGAUACUGGUUAGCUAGAGUGUGGGAGAGGAUGGUAGAAUUCCAGGUGUAGCGGUGAAAUGCGUAGAGAUCUGGAGGAAUACCGAUGGCGAAGGCAGCCAUCUGGCCUAACACUGACGCUGAGGUACGAAAGCAUGGGGAGCAAACAGG
rnacentral:rRNA from 1 species